rnacentral:rRNA from 1 species
CCUACGGGGGGCUGCAGUGGGGAAUAUUGGACAAUGGGGGCAACCCUGAUCCAGCCAUGCCGCGUGUGUGAAGAAGGCCCUCGGGUUGUAAAGCACUUUCAGUGAGGAAGAACGCCUGGUGGUUAAUACCCAUCAGGAAAGACAUCACUCACAGAAGAAGCACCGGCUAACUCCGUGCCAGCAGCCGCGGUAAUACGGAGGGUGCGAGCGUUAAUCGGAAUUACUGGGCGUAAAGCGCGCGUAGGUGGCUUGAUAAGCCGGUUGUGAAAGCCCCGGGCUCAACCUGGGAACGGCAUCCGGAACUGUCAAGCUAGAGUGCAGGAGAGGAAGGUGGAAUUGCCGGUGUAGCGGUGAAAUGCGUAGAGAUCGGGAGGAAUACCAGUGGCGAAGGCGGCCUUCUGGACUGACACUGACACUGAGGUGCGAAAGCGUGGGUAGCAAACAGGAUUAGAUACCCUGGUAGUC